CUGGCUUUAUCCCAGCAAGUACAGUCAUUAGCCUCUUUCUGACCAAGUAGUUACAGGAAGGUAGUUAUAGGAAUAGUCCACUUCUAAACAGUUCUACCAACUACCCUCCUCCAAAACCGGUUUGGCCAUUUGUAUUCACACUGGCCAAGUGGA